AAAACUACUUUACCAUUUUAUUUAUUUCAAAACUCGGGCUCGUCCGGAUGUGAGGCCUCAUGGCCCAAAAGGUUAACAAACCUAACUCCCAAUUUUACAAGUCCUCUUAGAUGUGGGUUUAUGGUAAGCCCAUCUUUCAAAAAAUCUGAAUUUGGAAAGCAAAGAUCCAAUCUCGAAUCCCUAACACCCCAAGCUGCGGUUAAGAAUAUUUGACUAACAACUAACACCAGAUGUACACCAUUGAUUUCAAAUGAACCUUUAACAGUGACAAGUUCAAAGCAAUUAAAAAUCCAACUUGAUAGCCAUACAAUACACAAUUCGAAACCUCAAAGCUUCAAGCAAAGACAUAGGAAUCUAAAUGUUAUAUAACAUUCUUCAAAAAAAACGAAAUAAACCAGUAGAGAUUCAUACUGUAUAAAAAUUUAAAACCUUCUUAUUUGAACACCUAACAUCUAUGAUGGAAUCAUUUGAAACUAAUAGUCAAACAAAUUACCUGUUAAAGACCCCAAGACCAAAUUACAUGUAUAAAAGGAAUCAAAUCCUCUAAAUUCAGUAUUAUAUAUAUACAUUUUCAUUCGAUCCAAACAUAUUUGAUUUGAGCCAGCAAUUACCCAGCUCUUAGUCACACUCAAAACCAAACAGGUUCACAGUUUGAAGAAAUAGAUUCUUUAGUUAAUGUACACCUAAUGUCCUAAGUUAAUGCAACAAAUGACAUCUAAAUAUUUCAAUGAACCAAAUAUCAUUUAAUACGAAAUCCAUAUCUAAUCCUGAGAUACAAAUGCAAUGUUGAUUUGCUCUAUUAAUCACGUAUAUAAAAGAACUCAGCCAGGAAGAUGCAAAAAAAAACUUAAAGCAACAAACUCAAACUAGAAAAAAUUAAUAUGGCCAACAAAGAAAACUCUCUUUCUUCAAUCCAACUGGAAACCACAUCUUCACAAACAAGCCUUAUACAAACAUCAGUUCCAUUCAGGGUUCAAUGAAAUACCUAAAAAUUGAAAAGGAAAGAGAAGUGAAGAGGCAGUAGAUUGCAAUAGAAAUAACAGGUGAAACCAACUUCUAGCCCAAAAAUGAUGCUCAGUAAUCCAAAAGAAAAUAGUUUUCAAUAGAACAAGAGUGUGUCAGACUUUGAACCAAACUUUAUAACCAAAACUCAAAUCGUUCAAAUCUCAUAUUGAGGAACUAUUGUUUUCAAAAGUUGAAAAGAACCAGAAAAUCACCGAAGAUCGAUGAAACAAUAGAGUUUUUGCCAUUUUUUUCUUUUUUAUUUUUUCUGGACUUUUAUCUCUUAAGCUCUCUUUUGUAUGUAUGUACUCUCUGUUUCUUUUCAAUGUAUUAAGCUUUCAGUAUCUAUUCUCCCUCUGAUUUAGUGUAUUCAGCUCUCAGAUCUCUCUAUAUCUCUUUUUUUGAAUUUUCUCCUAUGUUUUUCUAUGUCUUUCCCUCUUAAAAUCUCUUCAGCUCUCCCUGGAUUUUUCAGAAUGUUUAUCAGUCUCAGAUUGUAUAUCUCUCAGAUUUCAGGGUGUUUUCAGUGUAUUUUAAGAGUGUUUUCUAUCAGAUUUUCAGACUCAUUUUAAAGGCAUUCAAUUGAGAAGAUUUACCACUAACAAUUCAAAUUCUCAAUUUAAAAAUACCCACUGAAUCAGUGCUUUUAAAUUAAUCCAUUAGUGAACUGUUAUCCCUACCAUUAUGGAAACUUCUUAAGUAGGUGAAUACCUUUUUAUUAAACAAUCCCCAUUAUUACCCUUAAUUUUCUGUUUUUAACAAUCUCUUAAGUUCUGAAUUAUCACAAUCUCAAUAAUAGUAAGUAAAAGAAAUGGGACUUUCAUCAGCUUUCAGUUUUAGAAUCAAUUCACAAACAUAGCCAAUGAAACCUAACAGACGGAGAAAACUCCUACGAAUUUGAAACCAAACUACAACCAGACCUUAGGAAACUGGUUGUUCUUAACAAUGUGUUAACUAAUGAGCCCAAAUACCAGAGAAAUAAAUUGAAUUCUCAAUCAAUGUGAACAAACACUCAACACGGCUUAUAACUCAAAACGAAAGAAAUUAGAUCAAAACUAAUCUGAUGCAUUUAAAUAACACAGAAAAAUUUAGUAGCUAAUACCAACUUAUAAUAAGAUAGGAAAGUAAUGGUGGAACCGUGCUUACUUGCUAAACCAAACGAUCCCGAAUUUGAACUAUACUUCCAAAGAAUCCCCUACUUUCUGGUCGAGGCAGACUUUAAUCGUAUGAAAACACACGAUUAUAGUCCAUUUCAACCUCAAAAUCUCGAAACCUCGAUAAUCAGCAUUUUUUUGGGGAUUCAGGGUUCAACCUUCGAUCUAAAAUUCAAGCAGCUUUGGGGUGAUUCGAGGGACAUGGGUUGGGGUUUUGGGAAGAGGAGAGGGAUGGGGUUCCAUAGUGUUGAGAUGGAGGUGAACGGAUCCGGCGCCGCCACCCUAAGGCGGUGGGGGUAUGGUGGCGGCGUCUCUAGGGCUUGGUUGGAGACGAAUGACUGAAAGGUUCUGGGGGGCGAGGGCGUUUGAGGGGUGUUUAUAUAUUAAAAUGGGCUAAUU
rnacentral:lncRNA from 1 species